UGCGAGUCGAGAGGGUUCGGCCCUCGGCUGACGGCUCAGUAACACGUGGAUAAUCUGCCCUUAGGUGGAGGAUAAUCUCGGGAAACUGAGGACAAUACUCCAUAGGUUUAGGAGGCUGGAAUGCAUCUAGACUGAAAGCUCCGGCGCCUAAGGAUGAGUCUGCGGACUAUCAGGUAGUAGUCAGGGUAAAGACCUGACUAGCCUACGACGGAUACGGGUUGUGAGAGCAAUAACCCGGAGACGAUAUCUGAGACACGAUAUCGGGCCCUACGGGGCGCAGCAGGCGCGAAAACUUCACACUGUGCGAAAGCACGAUGAGGGAAUCCCAAGUGCUUGCUCGUAAGAGUAAGCUGUUUCUCUGUCUAAAACGCAGAGAGAGUAAGAGCUGGGUAAGACGGGUGCCAGCCGCCGCGGUAAUACCUGCAGCUCAAGUGGUGGCCGCUAUUAUUGGGCCUAAAACGUCCGUAGCCGGUUUAGUAAAUGCCUGGGUAAAUCGUGUAGCUUAACUAUACGAAUUCCGGGUAGACUGCUAAACUUGAGACCGGGAGAAGCCAGAGGUACUCCUAGGGUAGAGGUGAAAUUCUGUAAUCCUAGGGGGACCACCAGUGGCGAAGGCGUCUAGCUAGAACGGGUCUGACGGUGAGGGACGAAACCCUGGGGCGCAAACCGGAUUAGAUACCCGGGUAGUCCAGGGCGUAAACGCUGCUUGCUUGAUGUUAGUUGGGCUCCGAGCCCAAUUAGUGUCGGAGAGAAGUUGUUAAGCAAGCUGCCUGGGAAGUACGGUCGCAAGGCUGAAACUU
rnacentral:rRNA from 1 species